UGUUUAUCAAAAACAUGUCCUUUAGGAUUAAAUUUAAGGUCUAACCUGCCCACUGAAAAAUUGAAUGGCCGCAGUAUUUUAACUGUGCAAAGGUAGCAUAAUCAUUAGUCUUUUAAUUGAAGGCUUGUAUGAAUGGUUGGACAAGAUAUAUAUUGUUUCAUAUAAAUUUAUAGAAUUUUAUUUUUUAGUUAAAAAGCUAAAAUUUUAUUAAAAGACGAGAAGACCCUAUAGAUCUUUAUAAUUAUUAAGUUUUAUUUAUUAAGAAUAUUUUAUAUUUAAUUUAGAUAAUUAUUUUAUUGGGGUGAUAGUAAGAUUAAUUGAACUCUUAUUUAAAUUAAUACAUAAAUUAAUGAUUAAUUGAUCCAAUAUUAUUGAUCAGUAAAAUAAGUUACCUUAGGGAUAACAGCGUAAUUUUUUUAGAGAGUUCAUAUCGAUAAAAAAGAUUGCGACCUCGAUGUUGGAUUAAGAGAUAAAUUUGG
rnacentral:rRNA from 1 species